rnacentral:rRNA from 1 species
AACGCGAAGAACCUUACCUGGGCUCGAAAUGUAGUGGAAUCCGGCAGAAACGUCGGCGUCUAGCAAUAGACCGCUAUAUAGGUGCUGCAUGGCUGUCGUCAGCUCGUGUCGUGAGAUGUUGGGUUAAGUCCCGCAACGAGCGCAACCCUUAUCUUCAGUUGCUACCAUUUAGUUGAGCACUCUGACGAAACCGCCUCGGAUAACGGGGAGGAAGGUGGGGAUGACGUCAAGUCAGCAUGGCCCUUACGUCCCGGGCUACACACGUGCUACAAUGCGCCGAACAACGAGCUGCGAACCCGCGAGGGUAAGCCAAUCUCUUAAAUCGGCGCUCAGUUCGGAUUGAAGGCUGCAACUCGCCUUCAUGAAGUCGGAAUCGCUAGUAAACGCAGAUCAGCUACGCUGCGUUGAAUACGUUCCCGGGCCUUGUACACACCGAGACGAC